UAAACUAGGAUUAGAUACCCUAUUAUUUUAAAUGUAAAUUUAAAAUGCUAAAUUAGUAUUAGUUAUUUUCUUGAAAAUUAAAAAAUUUGGCGGUAUUUUAGUCUUUUCAGAGGAACCUGUCCUGUAAUUGAUAGUCCACGAUAAGAGACACUUCAUUUAUUAGUUUACAUAUCGUCGUAGGUUAAAUAUUUUAAUAGAAGUUUAAUAUUUAAGAUUUUAGAUUAUAAAGUAAAUCAGAUCAAGGUGUAGCAUAUAGUGAAGAAGAGAUGGGUUACAUUAAAUUUAUUUAAGGAUAAUUUUUUUUAAAAGAAUUUAAAUUUGGAUUUGAUAGUAAUUUUAUAUAUUUAUUUAAAAUGAUUAAAGCUCUAAAAUAUGUACACAUCGCCCGUCGCUCUUAA
rnacentral:rRNA from 1 species